rnacentral:rRNA from 1 species
UAGGUAGCGCCUCGUGAACUCAUCUUCGGGGGUAGAGCACUGUUUCGGCUAGGGGGCCAUCCCGGCUUACCAACCCGAUGCAAACUACGAAUACCGAAGAAUGUUAUCACGGGAGACACACGGCGGGUGCUAACGUCCGUCGUGAAGAGGGAAACAACCCAGACCGCCAGCUAAGGUCCCAAAGUCAUGGUUAAGUGGGAAACGAUGUGGGAAGGCACAGACAGCCAGGAUGUUGGCUUAGAAGCAGCCAUCAUUUAAAGAAAGCGUAAUAGCUCACUGGUCGAGUCGGCCUGCGCGGAAGAUGUAACGGGGCUAAACCAUGCACCGAAGCUGCGGCAGCGACGCUUAUGCGUUGUUGGGUAGGGGAGCGUUCUGUAAGCCGUUGAAGGUGUGCUGUGAGGCAUGCUGGAGGUAUCAGAAGUGCGAAUGCUGACAUAAGUAACGAUAAAGCGGGUGAAAAGCCCGCUCGCCGGAAGACCAAGGGUUCCUGUCCAACGUUAAUCGGGGCAGGGUGAGUCGACCCCUAAGGCGAGGCCGAAAGGCGUAGUCGAUGGGAAACAGGUUAAUAUUCCUGUACUUGGUGUUACUGCGAAGGGGGGACGGAGAAGGCUAUGUCAGCCGGGCGACGGUUGUCCCGGUUUAAGCAUGUAGGCGGAGGUUCCAGGUAAAUCCGGUACCUUGUUAACGCUGAGGUGUGAUGACGAGGCACUACGGUGCUGAAGUGAUAAAUGCCCUGCUUCCAGGAAAAGCCUCUAAGCAUCAGGUAACACGAAAUCGUACCCCAAACCGACACAGGUGGUCAGGUAGAGAAUACCAAGGCGCUUGAGAGAACUCGGGUGAAGGAACUAGGCAAAAUGGUGCCGUAACUUCGGGAGAAGGCACGCUGAUAUGUAGGUGAAGUCCCUGCGGACGGAGCUGAAAUCAGUCGAAGAUACCAGCUGGCUGCAACUGUUUAUUAAAAACACAGCACUGUGCAAACACGAAAGUGGACGUAUACGGUGUGACGCCUGCCCGGUGCCGGAAGGUUAAUUGAUGGGGUUAGCGGCAACGCGAAGCUCUUGAUCGAAGCCCCGGUAAACGGCGGCCGUAACUAUAACGGUCCUAAGGUAGCGAAAUUCCUUGUCGGGUAAGUUCCGACCUGCACGAAUGGCGUAAUGAUGGCCAGGCUGUCUCCACCCGAGACUCAGUGAAAUUGAACUCGCUGUGAAGAUGCAGUGUACCCGCGGCAAGACGGAAAGACCCCGUGAACCUUUACUAUAGCUUGACACUGAACACUGGUCCUUGAUGUGUAGGAUAGGUGGGAGGCUUUGAAGCGUGGACGCCAGUCUGCGUGGAGCCAUCCUUGAAAUACCACCCUUUAAUGGCUGGUGUUCUAACGUAGACCCGUGAUCCGGGUUGCGGACAGUGUCUGGUGGGUAGUUUGACUGGGGCGGUCUCCUCCCAAAGAGUAACGGAGGAGCACGAAGGUUGGCUAAUCCUGGUCGGACAUCAGGAGGUUAGUGCAAUGGCAUAAGCCAGCUUGACUGCGAGCGUGACGGCGCGAGCAGGUGCGAAAGCAGGUCAUAGUGAUCC